GGAACCGCCUGGGAGGCCUGAGGCCAGAAGCCUCGGGGGAGGAGGGAGCCCCGAGGAGGACACUUCCCGAGGGCUCUGGGCCUUUUGGAGAGCUGGGAGGAAGAGGGGGUGAGUCAGUCUUCCAAACGGAGGGGAAAGUCUAAGUUUUUCUGGGUUGGGACCUGGGGAAAACUGGACCGACCCCAGGGAGGCUGUGCUGGGCCCUGGGAAUGUCUGGCUCUUAGACCCAGUGCGGCCCAGUAAGGCUUCAGUUCCUGAUUCCUAUCUCCUUCGAGCCCAGUCUUUAAGUAAGUGGCCAGAGGCCCCCCAGGCCGCCUAGAACCUGGAAAAGUAACAGCUCAAAGCCUUCUCCCUCCCUUCCCCUGACCUCGUUUCAGAGAGGGUGGGGUUAGGACCAGAUGCCCGCCAGAGGCUGAGGGAGGCCUCUGAGGCAGGACAGUGAAAGCCUUCUUUUUUCCAGCCUUCAGAGCGGGUGCAGAGAAUGUUAGGGACUCAGGUGUUAGGGCUCAGGAUGGAGUCACUUAGGGACCCAGCAUCCCCUCUUCCCUUCCUCCCUCCUUCCCUCUCUCUCUUUCUUUCUUUUUUUUUUUUUUUAAUCUUUUCUAGGGCCACACCUGCAGCAUAUGGAGGUUCCCAGGCUAGGGGUCUAAUCAGAGCUGUAGCCGCCGGCCUACACCACAGCCACAGCAACACGAGAUUCGAGCUGAAUCUGCCACCUACACGGCAAUGCCGGAUCCUUAACCCACUGAGCAAGGCCAGGGAUCGAACCUGCAGCUUCACAGUUCCUAGUCGGAUUUGUUAACCACUGAGCCACAACAGGAACUCCUUCCCCUUCUUUCUGUUCCAGGUUAAUUUUUUACUCUGGCUUCACCGACCCUGGUGCCUGCUUCCCUCACCGGAAUUCAACUUUCUCCUAAAAAAUCGAUAUAAAGUUGGUAUUAGUCACGAACUUCUACUUCUUUUCUCUUUCCUCUUGUCUUCAUCCUGCUCCCCCCAGCUAUUUCCUGGUCCUCCGUGGCCCUCAGGGCAGGAAACCAGGGAGCAGCAGUGGAGCCAGUGCUGGUUAGGGACUUUGUAAACAUGAGAAGGAUGAUUCAGGGCUCAGGCUUUGCCACUCACCCACGAAGUCUCUUGCAUGACCCUAUCUAGGUAUUCUGGGCCCAAGUCAUAUAAAUAUUUGGCUCAUAGAGGAUGUGACUGGUGGCCUGGGCUAGGCUGGAGCAAGGAAAAUCUGCUUUCUUCAGCCAGACCCUCAAAAAUGACCUGACAUGUUAGUUACUGGUGGGGGUAAGAGGAAUUCCAGUCCUACGUUCCAGCCUCCAAAGCUUAUGGAGGCGAACGAUCCUUGCUGGGUGCCCUUUUUUGGCUGCCCUGCCAGGGAUCAGAUCUGAGCUGCAGUUGUGAACUAUGCUGCAGUUGCAGCAAUGCUGGAUCCUUAACCCACUGCGGGGCCAGGGAUCGAAACUGUCCCAGCACUCCAGAGACUGCAGAUCCUGUUGUGCCACAGCAGGAACUCUGCUCCUCCCCUUUAUCUUCUGGGCCUACUCCUGGCCACCUCCUCAGUGCUCAGGGCUGGUGUCUGCCGUUUGCUGGCCCCCCAUUUCCUCUAGUUCUGGGAGUCACCAGAAUAUCCAAGUAGAAUGGCUCUCAUUCCCAUCUCAGGUAGUAGCUGAAUCUGGCCUUUCCAUACCCUUUUGCUUAGAAAAGAGUUUGCUUCAUACCUACUCUCUAAACCAGUCAUAUUUCCACCUGCUUCUCUGCUGUUUCAUGGCACCUUUUCUGCCCACUGGAGAGGACUUCAAGGUCACAGAGCAGAGACAGGGUGGGGGUGGGGAUGAAUAAUUAAGAACUAUUGGAGUUCCCAUUGUGGCUCAGCGAUAAUGAACCCAACUAGUAUCCAUGAGGAUGUGGGUUUGAUCCCUAGCUUUGCUCAGUGGGUUAAGGAUCCGGUGGUGUAGGUGGCAGAUGUGGCUCCAAUUGCACCCUUAACCUGGGAACCUCCAUGUGCU
rnacentral:lncRNA from 1 species